rnacentral:rRNA from 1 species
GGCUCAGAUUGAACGCUGGCGGCAGGCCUAACACAUGCAAGUCGAGCGGUAGAGAGAAGCUUGCUUCUCUUGAGAGCGGCGGACGGGUGAGUAAUGCCUAGGAAUCUGCCUAGUGGUGGGGGAUAACGUCCGGAAACGGACGCUAAUACCGCAUACGUCCUACGGGAGAAAGCGGGGGACCUUCGGGCCUCGCGCCAUUAGAUGAGCCUAGGUCGGAUUAGCUAGUUGGUGAGGUAAUGGCUCACCAAGGCUACGAUCCGUAACUGGUCUGAGAGGAUGAUCAGUCACACUGGAACUGAGAC